GUCUGGAGCCAGGGGUCUUGCCAUGAAGGACAUUCAAGCAGUUCUGAGGAGAGGCCCAAGUGAAGAGGAACCAGUUGCCAGCACCACCCUGUCAGCUAUGUUAGUAAGUCGUUUUGGAAGUGCAUGUUCCAGUCUCAGUUAAGCUAUCAGAGAUUUUAGCCCCUCAGUCAUUGAGUCUUCCAGCUGAGGCCCCAGUCACAGUAGAGACAAAUUAUCCCCACUGUGCCCUAUCUAAAUUCCUGAUCCACAGAAACCAUGAGUAACUAAAUCAUUAUUGUUUUUAGCCACUAAUGUUUGGAGCAAUUUGUUAUGUGGCAAUGGGUAACCAAUAAAUACAUAUGAGCAACAAACAACUGAAAAAAGAAUAAAAAACAUUUUGAUUACAGUAGCAUCAAACAUUACUUAGGAUUUAACUUACUUAAAGGUAUGUAAGACCUAAAUACUGAAAACUACAUGAUAUGACUCAAAUUAAAGACUGAAAUAAACAAAUAGAUUAUAUUAGUAGAUUGGAAGACUCAAUGUUGUUGACAAGUAAAUUUU
rnacentral:lncRNA from 10 species